ACUCAAAGAAGUCAGUCUUGGUUGAGCUUCCUAGUCAAGUUGACUUUUAAGGGAGAUAAUCUUUCCAGGAGGAGGUCUGAAGAAAGGCAAGUUACAGGUGAUAAGAAAUGAGUAUGAUGAUGCACUGGUUACUACUGCUGCUUCUUCUGGUCAGCUUUGGCUCACCUGCACCCAGGUUUUCGGACAAAGAUAUCUGCCUCCUGGACAACAAUAAAUUAAGACAAAGGUUAAAACAUCUUCAAGACUUGCUUUACUUAUAUGAAUUGCAGCUGAAGGACAUACUGGGGAACACUUACCACAGAACGAAAAGUGAGCUGUUCUCAGGCAACAGGAGUGUACAGCAUGAGACGCUUUUACCCACAACCAGUGGAAAUUUGAUAGUGUAUGACCAAGAUUGCUCUGCAGUGUAUAACAGGAAGAGCACCACAAGUGGCUACUACCGGAUCAGGCCCCGAGCAGACCGAGAGCCUUUCCUGGCGUUCUGUGACAUGUCUGGUGGCGGGGGCUGGACUGUCAUUCAGCGGCGGAGUAACGGCAAGGAGAAUUUUGACAGAAAAUGGGAUGAUUACAAACUGGGAUUUGGGAAAUUCCAGGGCAAGAAUGAUGAAUACUGGCUGGGCAAUGAUCACAUCCAUGAUCUGCUUGCUAGAGGAGAGAACUCAUUAAAGAUUGACCUGAUGGACUGGCAUGGGGAAAGACGUUAUGCAAUCUAUGAAAAUUUCCAGCUUGCAAAUGAGCAGGACAAUUACAGGUUAUGGUUUGGCACCUAUUCUGGUAAUGCUGGCGACGCUCUGUCUGGUGGGAGCAAUUUUGAAGAUCAGUGGUCAGCCUCUCACAGAGGGAUGCAGUUCACCACAUCUGAUAAGGAUCACGAUCGAUUCCUGGCAGGCAACUGUGCAUCAGAGAACAAGGGUGGCUGGUGGUUUAACAGGUGCCAUGCUGUGAACCUCAAUGGGCGAUACUACAAAGGAGGGAGGUACAGUGGACCCCAUGAUGAUGGCUUGGUUUGGUCUACAUGGCACGGGGUGUGGUACUCACUGAAAUACUCAGCCAUGAAAAUCAGGGCUCCGUUCUUCAUCGACAGCGGGAGUGGAGAUGGUGAGAACAGUCAGGGCAGCUGAAACCUGCUGCUUUGGAAAGGGAAAAAGAAUGGUGUAAGUUGAUAGCCAGGGCUCUGCUGCUGCCUAUUGCCAAACCUGCACUUGAUAGCUGGAGUUGCACCUGCAUCUGCUACCUGAAGCUAACAGAAUGAGUUGUUUGAGCACAGCCAGACAACAAUUUAAUAAAAAACGUAUGGAUCUCAGUCACAGGAUAACCAGAGAUUUCUUUUUCAAGACUUUGUUUGAGAAUGUUUAUUGGAAGUUCUCUGGACUUAGAACUUCUCACGCUUCGAAGGAUCAAGCAUGUCCUUUAAUCACUCUAUACUUUUCAAAAUCUAAACCUUUCUCAUCUUUAUUUUAACCAUCAGUGUUUCAGUCAUGAGAACCUCAGAAAAGAAAGAACAAGGGGAUGUGGAGCUGGACUUCAUCUGGUGUGCCUUGGUUAGUGCUUUUUUCUGCAUCAGGAGAAUGUUUUAAAGCAACUUUCCCUAUGGUUCUAAUAGCCACACUUCAGUUCCAGAGUGCUCCUGGGGUGUGUGAAACCAAAUCUGUGGAUGGACAUGCUCCAACUCCUAAUGUGCAUCCAGACUACGGCUGCUUCAAAGUAAACACCCCCAACGGACAGUGUGGGUUCCAUUCCAACAGCUUCCCACUGCAGAUCCACUGCUAGAGUAUACCACAAGACAUUAAAGCAAAGAUAAUCCUGCCAACCAGAUUUAAGCCCCAGAUUAAAAUUAGGUGCACUUUAUUAAAAUUAAGGUGAGCACAGAUAUUCCUAGGAGUUCCUAAAAUACUGUCAAGAUUCAUUUGUACAUUCUCCUGUAAUUUACCAGAUUUUGCAAUUAGUGAUGGGGAAUCAGAAAGUGAUUAAACUACAAGGCACACUGCUUUCAUUGUCUCACUGGGAUGAAAUGAAAGAGCAACACAAAUGGCUGAAAAACGGAAUACUGAAAAUUUAUUUUCUACAGCUGUUAAUAACAACAGUUACAAAUAAAAACCAGUAUCAGCUUGAUGCAAAUCAUUUAACUACCAUGAGGCAGAAUAAACCUGUUUCCUUAUUUUUCUGAUUUAUAAUAAUUUUAAACUGGUAUUUCUUUUCCAUUCACUUGCUUUUAUAUCCAUAUAU